rnacentral:rRNA from 1 species
CGGAAUCUGCUGAGACGUGGGAGNUNAUCGAAAGAGAACGGCGCACAGNCNUGCUGCAUAGCUGUCGUCAGCUCGUGUCGUGAGAUGUUGGGUUAAGUCCCGCAACGAGCGCAACCCUUGUCCUUAGUUGCUACGCAAGAGCACUCUAAGGAGACUGCCGGUGACAAACCGGAGGAAGGUGGGGAUGACGUCAAGUCCUCAUGGCCCUUAUGGGUAGGGCUUCACACGUCAUACAAUGGUCGGAACAGAGGGUUGCCAACCCGCGAGGGGGAGCUAAUCCCAGAAAACCGAUCGUAGUCCGGAUUGCACUCUGCAACUCGAGUGCAUGAAGCUGGAAUCGCUAGUAAUCGCGGAUCAGCAUGCCGCGGUGAAUACGUUCCCGG